GCUGUAAAUGAUGAAAAUAUGGCUCCCUCUACUGAACACUGUGAGGAGAAAAGCCUUGCUGUUACCCAAAAUUUUCUGACUUUUGCAGC
rnacentral:snoRNA from 1 species